rnacentral:rRNA from 1 species
GAAGAUGCAGUGUACCCGCGGCAAGACGGAAAGACCCCGUGAACCUUUACUAUAGCUUGACACUGAACAUUGAGCCUUGAUGUGUAGGAUAGGUGGGAGGCUUUGAAGCGUGGACGCCAGUCUGCGUGGAGCCGACCUUGAAAUACCACCCUUUAAUGUUUGAUGUUCUAACGUGGAUCCGUAAUCCGGGUUGCGGACAGUGUCUGGUGGGUAGUUUGACUGGGGCGGUCUCCUCCUAAAGAGUAACGGAGGAGCACGAAGGUUGGCUAAUCCUGGUCGGACAUCAGGAGGUUAGUGCAAUGGCAUAAGCCAGCUUGACUGCGAGCGUGACGGCGCGAGCAGGUGCGAAAGCAGGUCAUAGUGAUCCGGUGGUUCUGAAUGGAAGGGCCAUCGCUCAACGGAUAAAAGGUACUCCGGGGAUAACAGGCUGAUACCGCCCAAGAGUUCAUAUCGACGGCGGUGUUUGGCACCUCGAUGUCGGCUCAUCACAUCCUGGGGCUGAAGUAGGUCCCAAGGGUAUGGCUGUUCGCCAUUUAAAGUGGUACGCGAGCUGGGUUUAGAACGUCGUGAGACAGUUCGGUCCCUAUCUGCCGUGGGCGCUGGAGAACUGAGGGGGGCUGCUCCUAGUACGAGAGGACCGGAGUGGACGCAUCACUGGUGUUCGGGUUGUCAUGCCAAUGGCACUGCCCGGUAGCUAAAUGCGGAAGAGAUAAGUGCUGAAAGCAUCUAAGCACGAAACUUGCCCCGA